AUUGAACGCUGGCGGUAGGCCUAACACAUGCAAGUCGAGCGGAAACAAUUGGAGCUUGCUCCAAGUUGUCGAGCGGCGGACGGGUGAGUAAUACAUAGGAAUCUGCCUAUCAGUAGGGGAUAGCUCGGAGAAAUCCGGAUUAAUACCGUAUGUUCCUUAUGGGGGAAAGGGGCCGUAUCCUUGGAAGCUCUCGCUGAUAGAUGAGCCUAUGUGAGAUUAGCUAGUUGGUAAGGUAAAAGACUUACCAAGGCGACGAUCUCUAACUGGUCUGAGAGGAUGAUCAGUCACACUGGAACUGAGACACGGUCCAGACUCCUACGGGAGGCAGCAGUGGGGAAGUAUUGGACAAUGGGGGGAACCCGUGAUCCAGCCAUACCGCGUGUGUGAAGAAGGCCUUAGGGUUGUAAAGCACUUUCAGUUAGGAAAAAGACUAAUAGUUAAUACCAUUUAGUCUGAUGUUACUGACACAAGAAGACACCGGCUAACUCCGU
rnacentral:rRNA from 1 species